GCCGGGCGUUGUGGCGGGCGCCUGUGGUCCCAGCUACUUGGGAGGCUGAGGCAGGAGACUCGCUUGAGCCCAGGAGUUGAAGGUUGCUGUGAGCUGUAAUGCCACGGCACUCUGCCCAGGGGGACAGCUUGAGGCUCUGUCUCAAAAAAAAAAAAGAAUUCGAAGUUGCUGUGAGCUAUGAUGCCAUGGCAUUCUACCCAGGGCAACAAAGUGAGACUCCGUCUCAA
rnacentral:SRP_RNA from 1 species